rfam:Methanobrevibacter cuticularis strain DSM 11139 MBCTT_contig000092, whole genome shotgun sequence.
UGGGAAAAAUCCCAUGGAUGUGGCCAUUUUGGCUGAACAAGAGG